rnacentral:rRNA from 1 species
GGGUUGUGAGGUUAAGCGACUAAGCGUACACGGUGGAUGCCCUGGCAGUCAGAGGCGAUGAAGGACGUGCUAAUCUGCGAUAAGCGCCGGUAAGGUGAUAUGAACCGUUAUAACCGGCGAUUUCCGAAUGGGGAAACCCAGUGUGACUCGUCACACUAUCAUUAACUGAAUCCAUAGGUUAAUGAGGCGAACCGGGGGAACUGAAACAUCUAAGUACCCCGAGGAAAAGAAAUCAACCGAGAUUCCCCCAGUAGCGGCGAGCGAACGGGGAGGAGCCCAGAGCCUGAAUCAGCAUGUGUGUUAGUGGAAGCGUCUGGAAAGGCGCGCGAUACAGGGUGACAGCCCCGUACACAAAAGCGCAUGUGCUGUGAGCUCGAUGAGUAGGGCGGGACACGUGGUAUCCUGUCUGAAUAUGGGGGGACCAUCCUCCAAGGCUAAAUACUCCUGACUGACCGAUAGUGAACCAGUACCGUGAGGGAAAGGCGAAAAGAACCCCGGCGAGGGGAGUGAAAAAGAACCUGAAACCGUGUACGUACAAGCAGUGGGAGCACAGGUUUACCUGUGUGACUGCGUACCUUUUGUAUAAUGGGUCAGCGACUUAUAUUCUGUAGCAAGGUUAACCGAAUAGGGGAGCCGGAGGGAAACCGAGUCUUAACCGGGCGUUAAGUUGCAGGGUAUAGACCCGAAACCCGGUGAUCUAGCCAUGGGCAGGUUGAAGGUUGGGUAACACUAACUGGAGGACCGAACCGACUAAUGUUGAAAAAUUAGCGGAUGACCUGUGGCUGGGGGUGAAAGGCCAAUCAAACCGGGAGAUAGCUGGUUCUCCCCGAAAGCUAUUUAGGUAGCGCCUCGUGAAUUCAUCUCCGGGGGUAGAGCACUGUUUCGGCUAGGGGGCCAUCCCGGCUUACCAACCCGAUGCAAACUGCGAAUACCGGAGAAUGUUAUCACGGGAGACACACGGCGGGUGCUAACGUCCGUCGUGAAGAGGGAAACAACCCAGACCGCCAGCUAAGGUCCCAAAGUCAUGGUUAAGUGGGAAACGAUGUGGGAAGGCCCAGACAGCCAGGAUGUUGGCUUAGAAGCAGCCAUCAUUUAAAGAAAGCGUAAUAGCUCACUGGUCGAGUCGGCCUGCGCGGAAGAUGUAACGGGGCUAAACCAUGCACCGAAGCUGCGGCAGCGA